AUUGAACGCUGGCGGCAUGCCUUACACAUGCAAGUCGAACGGUAACAGGUCUUCGGAUGCUGACGAGUGGCGAACAGGUGAGUAAUACAUCGGAACGUGCCUAGUAGUGGGGGAUAACUACUCGAAAGAGUGGCUAAUACCGCAUGAGAUCUAAGGAUGAAAGCAGGGGAUCGCAAGACCUUGUGCUACUAGAGCGGCCGAUGGCAGAUUAGGUAAUUGGUGGGAUAAAAGCUUACCAAGCCGACGAUCUGUAGCUGGUCUGAGAGGACGAUCAGCCACACCGGGACUGAGACACGGCCCAGACUCCUACGGGAGGCAGCAGUGGGGAAUUUUGGACAAUGGGCGAAAGCCUGAUCCAGCAAUGCCGCGUGCAGGAUGAAGGCCUUCGGGUUGUAAACUGCUUUUGUACGGAACGAAAAGCCCCGGGUUAAUACCCUGGGGUCAUGACGGUACCGUAAGAAUAAGCACCGGCUAACUACGUGCCAGCAGCCGCCGUAA
rnacentral:rRNA from 1 species